CGUCGACGUUGACGUGGGUGGCGCGCAGGGUUCAGGAAGCCACUUGCAGGGCUUCGCGGUGAAGGCGGACUCCAGACAAGCUCCAGCAUUGGGCGAAAGCUGUUGGUGAGGCUCUUCAGGGGGAUGAGACUGCCAGUGGUGCCGCUCACAGACUGGUCUGAAUAAAGAAUUUCAUAUCUCUUUGUUUCAUUAUCAUUAAAAGAAGACAUAAGUGAAAGGAAAACUCGCCAACUAACGAAACUCCACUCCCUAAAUAACAGCAAAAAAAAAAAAGCAAACCUAUGAAAACAAAACAAAACAAGAUACCAAACAACCAGACCAUUGAGAUUUUAAAAUAAAGGCUUUCAGUGGGAGUGGUAUAAUGAAGACAGAGAAAUGUGACAGAGGUGAAUAAAAGAGCACCCUGGAGAAAAAGAAGAAUCUAAGCUGUCAAGGAGGAGGGGAAGCCAUGGCCUACACACACAACAAAUUGAUGAUUCCGCCACUUUCAUUACCUUUUAUUGCACUCACCUUCCAUUAUCCUCUUUCUUCUUACUAUUAUAGACUUAUUUUCUCCACCAUAAGACACUUCAGCUUUGGAUCAAGUAAAAUAUGGCCUUCAGUUCUUAUAAACACUAUCCUUAGUAUAACUACAAAUAAGCAUAAAUCAGUAGUAAGUAAAUGUAUA